rnacentral:lncRNA from 1 species
UCUGAUUUGCAGUGAAUGAGACACCUGCAUUGCCAUGUAAGAUACGAUUAAUACAAAUCAGUGUUCUAAUUUUAACAAUACUGUUUAAGAUUGUAACAGUUAUUGGACAAUCAAUGGAAGUAAA